AUUGAACGCUGGCGGCAUGCUUUACACAUGCAAGUCGAACGGCAGCACGGACUUCGGUCUGGUGGCGAGUGGCGAACGGGUGAGUAAUACAUCGGAACGUGCCCAGUUGUGGGGGAUAACCACUCGAAAGAGUAGCUAAUACCGCAUGAGAACUGAGGUUGAAAGCAGGGGAUCGUAAGACCUUGCGCAACUGGAGCGGCCGAUGGCAGAUUAGGUAGCUGGUGGGAUAAAAGCUUACCAAGCCGACGAUCUGUAGCUGGUCUGAGAGGACGACCAGCCACACUGGGACUGAGACACGGACCAGACUCCUGCGGGAGGCAGCAGUGGGGAAUUUUGGACAAUGGGCGAAAGCCUGAUCCAGCAAUGCCGCGUGCAGGAUGAAGGCCUUCGGGUUGUAAACUGCUUUUGUACGGAACGAAAAGCUUCGGGUUAAUACCCUGGAGUCAUGACGGUACCGUAAGAAUAAGCACCGGCUAACUACGUGCCAGCAGCCGCCGUAA
rnacentral:rRNA from 1 species